rnacentral:rRNA from 1 species
AUGAAGCUGGAAUUGCUAGUAAUGGCAGGUCAGCAUACUGCCGUGAAUACGUUCCCGGGCCUUGUACACACCGCCCGUCACACCAUGAGAGUUGGGAAUACCCGAAGCCUGUGAGCUAACGUUUAGAGGCAGCAGUCGAAGGUAGAAUCAAUGAUUGGGGUGAAGUCGUAACAAGGUAUC